rnacentral:rRNA from 1 species
GAGCAACCUGCCCUGGACUCUGGGAUAAGCGCUGGAAACGGUGUCUAAUACUGGAUAUGAGAUGUGAUCGCAUGGUCAUGUUUGGAAAGAUUUUUCGGUCUGGGAUGGGCUCGCGGCCUAUCAGCUUGUUGGUGAGGUAAUGGCUCACCAAGGCGUCGACGGGUAGCCGGCCUGAGAGGGUGACCGGCCACACUGGGACUGAGACACGGCCCAGACUCCUACGGGAGGCAGCAGUGGGGAAUAUUGCACAAUGGGCGGAAGCCUGAUGCAGCAACGCCGCGUGAGGGAUGACGGCCUUCGGGUUGUAAACCUCUUUUAGCAGGGAAGAAGCGUAAGUGACGGUACCUGCAGAAAAAGCGCCGGCUAACUACGUGCCAGCAGCCGCGGUAAUACGUAGGGCGCAAGCGUUAUCCGGAAUUAUUGGGCGUAAAGAGCUCGUAGGCGGUUUGUCGCGUCUGCUGUGAAAUCCCGAGGCUCAACCUCGGGUCUGCAGUGGGUACGGGCAGACUAGAGUGCGGUAGGGGAGAUUGGAAUUCCUGGU